UAGUAUUUUAUGCAACAGUUGUAUAAGAAGGGUCAAAAAAUGCGAGUGGCGUGAGUUGCGAUGUGAGCCUUGGCGAACAUCGCAAUAAGAGACGCCACGAGCAUUUUUUGACCUAGUUAUACAACGUUGCAUACAAUACUUUUUCUACGACGACGUAAUUUUAAAUGAAACCAAAAUUUUCCAAUUUAUUUUCCAACGCGCGGGUAAAUGGCGGCAAAUGUAUACUUUUUUUUUAUAGUAUAUCUAUGGCACCAAACAAAGUAAAGGUGCCAGUUUCCAGGUCAAAAAAAAAAACAACAACAAUGCUUUUUUGGCGACAUUAUAGUACAGUUACACUUUGUAAACAAUGCUUUUAUA